UCUUCAUUUCACGCACUCUCUCACCGGUCAGGGUGGCGAGAGAGCACGCCAAAUGAGGAGA
rnacentral:pre_miRNA from 1 species